AGUGAACGCUGGUGGUAGGCCUAACACAUGCAAGUCGAACGGCAGCACAGGAGAGCUUGCUCUCUGGGUGGCGAGUGGCGGACGGGUGAGGAAUACAUCGGAAUCUACUCUGUCGUGGGGGAUAACGUAGGGAAACUUACGCUAAUACCGCAUACGACCUACGGGUGAAAGCGGGGGACCUUCGGGCCUUGCGCGAUUGAAUGAGCCGAUGUCGGAUUAGCUAGUUGGCGGGGUAAAGGCCCACCAAGGCGACGAUCCGUAGCUGGUCUGAGAGGAUGAUCAGCCACACUGGAACUGAGACACGGUCCAGACUCCUACGGGAGGCAGCAGUGGGGAAUAUUGGACAAUGGGCGCAAGCCUGAUCCAGCCAUACCGCGUGGGUGAAGAAGGCCUUCGGGUUGUAAAGCCCUUUUGUUGAGAAAGAAAUCCAGCUGGCUAAUACCCGGUUGGGAUGACGGUACCCAAAGAAUAAGCACCGGCUAACUUCGUGCCAGCCGCCGCAGUAA
rnacentral:rRNA from 1 species